GAGCGUGUAGCUCAGUGGUAGAGCGCAUGCUUAGCAUGCACAAGGUCCUGGGUUCAAUCACCAGCACCUCU
rnacentral:tRNA from 1 species